UACGAGAGGCCCAAACGUUAUUCGGAAUUACUGGGCUUAAAGAGUUCGUAGGCGGCAUGAAAAGUAGGGUGUGAAAGCCCUCGGCUUAACCGAGGAAUUGCGCUCUAAACUGUCGUGCUCGAGGAACCUAGAGGUGAGCAGAACAGAUGGUGGAGCGGUGAAAUGCGUAGAUAUCUGGAGGAACACCGGUGGCGAAGGCGGCAUCCUGGACCAACACUGACGCUGAGGAGCGAAAGCCAGGGGAGCAAACGGG
rnacentral:rRNA from 1 species